CUUUCUUUGCUGGCGACCGGCGCACGGGUGAGUAACACGUAUCCAACCUGCCCUUUACUCGGGGAUAGCCUUUCGAAAGAAAGAUUAAUACCCGAUAGCAUAAUGAUUCCGAAUGGUUUCAUUAUUAAAGGAUUCCGGUAAAGGAUGGGGAUGCGUUCCAUUAGGUUGUUGGUGAGGUAACGGCUCACCAAGCCUUCGAUGGAUAGGGGUUCUGAGAGGAAGGUCCCCCACAUUGGAACUGAGACACGGUCCAA
rnacentral:rRNA from 1 species